rnacentral:rRNA from 1 species
GUGUCAGCAGCCGCGGUAAUACAGAGGUCCCAAGCGUUGUUCGGAUUCAUUGGGCGUAAAGGGUGCGUAGGCGGCAAGGUAAGUUGGAUGUGAAAUCCGGGGGCUCAACCUCCGAACUGCAUUCAAUACUGCUUUGCUAGAGUACUGGAGAGGAGAUUGGAAUUCACGGUGUAGCAGUGAAAUGCGUAGAUAUCGUGAGGAAGAUUAGCGGCGAAGGCGAAUCUCUGGACAGUUACUGACGCUGAGGCACGAAGGCUAGGGUAGCGAACGGGAUUAGAUACCCCGGUAGUCCUAGCAGUAAACGGUGCACGUUUAGUGUGGGAGGAAUCGACCCCUUCCGUGCUGGAGCUAACGCGUCAAACGUGCCGCCUGGGGAGUACGGUCGCAAGAUUAAA